GAACCUCAUUGUACCACAAGUCUCAAAGAAAAAAAGUUUGUAGAAAGGUUUCGGGAACAGGGCAGCCUUAGACCAGUCAGCCCUGUUCAUCUAGCCCUGUCCUGCUACAUUUGUGCUGGGUGUAAAAAGGAAGGAAGCCCAGCAGUGGAGGUUGGCUGGAAGGGUGAGCCGAAGACUAUGAUGGACCAGAGGAGACCACACGGCCAGUGGAAGACUCUAGGUUUGUGAAGGUUCCGAGAUUUUACAAGAGCCACCUCUAUCGACUGCCAGUAACACACCUAUCAACUUGAAACCUUCAUGCCAACCUAGACUCAGUAUCAGGAACCAUAACGAUAUCAGAGAUGCAAAUUAAAGCAAAAUACAGUCCAGUACUCAUUCAGGUUGCCAGACUAACAGCCUUGGAAAAGAAUGGCCUCUAACACAGAACAGCUGCAGAGUGGUCAGCUUGCCCUUUCCACCUACCCAUGUGCCUCAAGCCUAUUCUGAAGAGACCACUUAUUGGGAGCUGAGACCAGGUCAGUCUUCAUGGGCCUUUAAUUCUUGACUUCUCAUCUGAGACUACUAGUUUCUGUCAGUUGUAAUGGUGAUUUUAGUGAUAUAAAUAUGCCCACUCAGAACUGGACUGGGCCCACCAGUUCAUUUCACAUAGGCCACUGAACAUCUGUCAGAUGGGAAUGACUCUUAAGCACUAUUACCCAGUAUUCAAAUAGCAUUCUAGAGCUGGCUUUAGUUUUGGUUGGCGGGUGACGAGAUAUAGAGGAACAGUGAAUUGAACAAAUUAUGAAGGACCAAAAAAGCCAGAGGAGUUCAGACUGUUAGGCCCAAUCCUUGGAGUUGCUAAGCAGACCUAAGUCUUGUUGCCCUUAGCACCUCUCAGGGGCAGGCCCUUUAUCACUAUUUACCCUAGUUCCCAGCAUAUGAGACUCUCUUUCUGGAUGUGCAUAUAGUAGGACAGAAACAAUAAGAAAUCACUGUACUAUCAGUGAUCACAACCAAAAAGGAAUCUGUACAAGCUUUAGUCCAGUGUUGUUUCUGGCCUAUUGUAGCUUGUAAACUAGCAACUCCCUGCAACAAUAAAUUAACGGAAUAGAAAUGAAAAAUUAGUAACACUGUAUCUGACCAAGUAGCAUAAAAAACAAAAAUAUUUUUGAAAGGAAGGAAGAAAUUAGACAGCUAACUACAAAGAAUUAAGGGGCACAAGAAGUCAAAGUACUUUUGAAUAGGAGGAAAAAAU